rnacentral:rRNA from 1 species
GUCGAACGGCAGCACGGAACUCCGGUCCGGUGGCGUGUGGCGAAACGGGUGCGUCACGUAUCGGAAACGUGCCCAGUAGCGGGGGAUAACUACGCGAAAGCGUAGCUAAUACCGCAUACGCCCUACGGGGGAAAGCAGGGGAUCGCAAGAACCUUUGCACUAUUGGAGCGGCCGAUAUCGGAUUAGCUAGUUGGUGGGGUAACGGCUCACCAAGGCGACGAUCCGUAGCUGGUUUGAGAGGACGACCAGCCACACUGGGACUGAGACACGGCCCAGACUCCUACGGGAGGCAGCAGUGGGGAAUUUUGGACAAUGGGGGAAACCCUGAUCCAGCCAUCCCGCGUGUGCGAUGAAGGCCUUCGGGUUGUAAAGCACUUUUGGCAGGAAAGAAACGUCGCGGGUUAAUACCCCGCGGAACUGACGGUACCUGCAGAAUAAGCACCGGCUAACUACGUGCCAGCAGCCGCGGUAAUACGUAGGGUGCAAGCGUUAAUCGGAAUUACUGGGCGUAAAGCGUGCGCAGGCGGUUCGGAAAGAAAGAUGUGAAAUCCCAGAGCUUAACUUUGGAACUGCAUUUUUAACUACCGGGCUAGAGUGUGUCAGAGGGAGGUGGAAUUCCGCGUGUAGCAGUGAAAUGCGUAGAUAUGCGGAGGAACACCGAUGGCGAAGGCAGCCUCCUGGGAUAACACUGACGCUCAUGCACGAAAGCGUGGGGAGCAAACAGGAUUAGAUACCCCUGGUAGU